rnacentral:rRNA from 1 species
UACGGGGGGGGCAAGCGUUGUUCGGAAUUACUGGGCGUAAAGGGCUCGUAGGCGGCCAACUCAGUCGGAUGUGAAAUCCCCAGGCUUAACCUGGGAACUGCAUCCGAUACUGGAUGGCUUGAAUCCGGGAGAGGGAUGCGGAAUUCCAGGUGUAGCGGUGAAAUGCGUAGAUAUCUGGAGGAACACCGGUGGCGAAGGCGGCAUCCUGGACCGGCAUUGACGCUGAGGAGCGAAAGCCAGGGGAGCAAACGGG